CCAGCCACACUGGAACUGAGACACGGUCCAGACUCCUACGGGAGGCAGCAGUGGGGAAUAUUGCACAAUGGGCGCAAGCCUGAUGCAGCCAUGCCGCGUGUAUGAAGAAGGCCUUCGGGUUGUAAAGUACUUUCAGGGCGGGGGGAGGAAGGUGUUUGGUGGGUUAAUAACCGGCAGGCAAAUUGACGUUACCCCGCAAGAAGAAAAAGCAGCCCGGGCUAACUUCCGUUGCCAGGCAGCUCGCCGGUAAUUACCGGAGGGUGCAAGCGGUUUAAAAUCGGAAUUUACUUGGGCCGUAAAGCCGCCACGCCAGGCGGUCCUGUCCAAGUCGGGAAUGUGAAAAUCCCCGGGCUCCAACCUGGGGAAACUGCAUUUCGAAACUGGCAGGGCUGGAGUCUUGUAGAGGGGGGGUAGAAUUUCCAGGUGUAGCGGUGAAAUGCGUAGAGAUCUGGAGGAAUAACCGGUGGCGAAGGCGGCCCCCCUGGACAAAGACUGACGCUCAGGUGCGAAAGCGUGGGGAGCAAACAGGAUUAGAUACCCUGGUAGUCCAACGCCGUAAACGAUGUCGAUUUGGAGGUUGUGCCCUUUGAAGGCGUGGCCUUCCGGGAGCUAACGCGUUAAAUCAACCGCCUUGGGGAGUACGGCCCGCAAGGGUUAAAAACUCAAAUGAAUUGACGGGGGGCCCGCAACAAGCGGUGGGAAGCAUGGUGGUUUAAAUUCGAUGGCAACGCGAAGAACCCUUACCCUGGGUCUUGGACAUUCAACAGAACUUUUCCAGAGAUGGGAUUUGGGUGCCUUUCCGGGGGAAGCUGUGAGACAGGUGCUGCAUGGCUGUCGUCAGCUCGUGUUGUGAAAUGUUGGGUUAAGUCCCGCAACGAGCGCAACCCUUAUCCUUUGUUGCCAGCGGUUAGGCCGGGAACUCAAAGGAGACUGCCAGUGAUAAACUGGAGGAAGGUGGGGAUGACGUCAAGUCAUCAUGGCCCUUACGACCAGGGCUACACACGUGCUACAAUGGCGCAUACAAAGAGAAGCGACCUCGCGAGAGCAAGCGGACCUCAUAAAGUGCGUCGUAGUCCGGAUUGGAGUCUGCAACUCGACUCCAUGAAGUC
rnacentral:rRNA from 1 species